rnacentral:lncRNA from 1 species
UAGCCGCAUACGUGUCCGACCUCUACAGAUAUCCACAUGAAGUCCUUAUGCUGAUUGAUCUCUCCGAAAGUGCUAGCUCGCGAAGAUACCAUACUUUGGCAGAUCUAAGAGGAACAUGAUGAAGAUGAAGAAUAAGAAGAUCUUCUCUUUUUUUUCUUGGAUCCACACAUCAAAUCUCUACGAUAGAGAUCAAGAAAAGAACUCUUUCUUCUCAAUUCUCCCACGCA